rnacentral:rRNA from 1 species
UACGGGGGGGGCAAGCGUUGUUCGGAAUUACUGGGCGUAAAGGGCUCGUAGGCGGCCAAUUAAGUCCGACGUGAAAUCCCCAGGCUUAACCUGGGAACUGCGUCGGAUACUGAUUGGCUUGAAUCCGGGAGAGGGAUGCGGAAUUCCUGGUGUAGCGGUGAAAUGCGCAGAUAUCAGGAAGAACACCCGUGGCGAAGGCGGUUCUCUGAGACGGUACUGACGCUGAGACGCGAAAGCGUGGGGAGCGAACAGG